AUUGAACGCUGGCGGCAGGCCUAACACAUGCAAGUCGAACGGUAACAGGAAGCAGCUUGCUGCUUCGCUGACGAGUGGCGGACGGGUGAGUAAUGUCUGGGAAACUGCCUGAUGGAGGGGGAUAACUACUGGAAACGGUAGCUAAUACCGCAUAACGUCGCAAGACCAAAGAGGGGGACCUUAGGGCCUCUUGCCAUCGGAUGUGCCCAGAUGGGAUUAGCUAGUAGGUGGGGUAACGGCUCACCUAGGCGACGAUCCCUAGCUGGUCUGAGAGGAUGACCAGCCACACUGGAACUGAGACACGGUCCAGACUCCUACGGGAGGCAGCAGUGGGGAAUAUUGCACAAUGGGCGCAAGCCUGAUGCAGCCAUGCCGCGUGUAUGAAGAAGGCCUUCGGGAUGUAAAGUACUUUCAGCGGGGAGGAAGGGAGUAAAGUUAAUACCUUUGCUCAUUGACGUUACCCGCAGAAGAAGCACCGGCUAACUCCGUG
rnacentral:rRNA from 1 species